GUGUCAGGCAGGCUUCAAACAACGCUUUUAAGAAACUGACACACGGCACAGUCAGUCUCCGGAAAACCCAGAGAAGAUCAGAAAACUCUUUGGAUCCUGUCCAGAGGCACAGAA
rnacentral:snoRNA from 1 species